rnacentral:lncRNA from 10 species
UUUAUACAAACGCAAAGCAAAAUUGGGCUGCCAUGAGGGGCACUGAAGAAGACAAGGCUGUGGAUGAUUAGGAUUCUGGACACUUUCCUCCGAGGCUUCAGUGAAGGGCUGUGGGGAUGAUGUCUGUUACGUGCUGAAUUGUACCUGCCCGAAAUUCAUAUGCUGAAGUCUAGACACCUAGUAUCUCCAGAUAUGAUCUUGUUUGGAAAUAGGGUCAUUGGAGAUGUAAUCAGUUAAGAUGAGGUCAUUAGAGCAGGCUCCUAAUCCAAUAUGACUGAUGUCCUUACAAGAAGGAGCAAUUUGGACACAGACAACACACAGGGAGAAUGCCAUGUGAAGAUGAAGGCAGAGAUCAGGGUGAUGCUUCUACAAGCCGAGGAAAGCGAAAGAUGGCCAGCAAACUAGGAGAGAGGCAAAGCUAGGAAAGGAGCCUGGAGCAGAUUCUCCUUCACAGCCUCAGAAGGCACCAACCCUGUCAACCCCUUGAUCUUGGACUUCUAACCUCCAGAACUGCUACGUUCUUUAUUGGUCACCCUCACCGCAAGAAUGUGAGAGAGGCACAGUCAUCCCUACUUUGUAGAUGGGAAACUGAGGCUCUGUGAGGUUAAGUCACUUGCUCAUUAAGUGGACGGAUGGGGCCACACUCAGAACUGGGAUCCUAUCCCCCAGUCCAAGCCUUCACUACCACACCAAACCAUUCCAGUAUUUUGUUGAUGCUUCAAAUAAAAUAUGAUCUGUGUAUGAAUAAAAAGAUUGGAAGGGGCUGGGUGCGGUGGCUCAUGCCUGUAAUCCCAGCACUUUGGGAGGCCAAGGCAGGUGGAUCACUUGAGGCCAGGAGUUCUAGACCAGCCUGGACAACAUGUUGAAACCCCGUCUCUACUAAAAAUAUAAAAAUUAGCCUGACAGGGUGGCGGGUGCCUGUAAUUUCAGCUACUUGGGAUGCUGAGGCUGGAUAAUCCCUUGAACCUGGGAAGCAGAAGAGGUUGCAGUGAGCCAAGAUUGUGCCACUGCACUCCAGCUUAGGUGACGAAAAGAAAAUUGGAAGGAAAUUUCACAAACAGAGAAAGACCUUUCUUCUUACUACUUUGAGAAACCUGUGAAGUGAAAUCAUUGGCUCAUGAUCACCCAUGUCUCCCAAGACAUCUUCUUGCCUACUCUGCAGGAGGCUGGAGCCAUGUCUGAGCAGCAUGAGAAAGCCUACAUGAGGCCCCUGGCACAUCCGAGGUGUGUGGGGCACCGGGGCCCCCAGAAGAGGAGCCUUUGGAUCUGAUGGGAGCAAGGGCUCUACUGAGGCUGCCAGAGAUGCCCUCGGACUCAGAGUAUGGAAGCGGGACCAUUGCCGUUACAAACCCGCAGGGAAGGGGCUGAGCACCCGGAGGGCUGUGUGUGCACACAUGACGUUAUCGGAGUCAGGAAGGCAGCCAGCCGCGAGGAGAUGGGAAACUGGUCCACGGCACCCGGGGAGACCUUCACAGCCCACGCAUUAGCCCUCGUCAGCCGGUGUCCCGGCGCUCCCCACAAACCCAGACUCUCUCCUUGGCUAACAAUGGCCUCCACCAGCCGACCUCUUUGAGCCUCUGUGUUCUCAUUUCUUCCAUCUGCCACACAUGAUGCCACAAGGUCCCUGCUCUGUCUCUCCAACAUGCCACUCAUUCCUGACUCACAGCCUUCAUGCUCACACCCCUCCCUUGUCCUAUCCUCACUCUCAGUCAUCCUGUUCAAUGCCUUCAUGGCACUUAUCAUAAGCUCUUACGAUCAUGUUUAUAGGUCUGGUUUCAUUGUUGCUGUAGGGGGGUCUGUCUCCCCCAUUUAGGCCUAACAGGCCAGGAAUCUUGUCUGUCUGAUUUACUCCUAACAUAUGUUAAGUGUUCAAUAAAUUUUUGCUGAAUAAAUGAAGGAAAAAAAUCAUGCAGCCUCUGAGAUGUCAUGGGAUGACAG